UCUGGAUCACAGGCUAUUCGCAGCUGGACACAUCCUUCUACACUGUAUGCAAACAUGCAACAUCAUAACACACAGUACAAGGAGUCAGACUGGCAUAUGAGGAGCAAAGGAACCCAGGCAGUAGCAUCGUUUCACAAUGUUUCCAUCACCAUCAUCAGUGGAUGCCUUUGCCGUCCGUAGCCUGAGAUUUCAGAUUUGCAGCAAAAAAAAUUGAUUUUCUCAUUUAUUGGAAUGCUAUGCAGGUUGUACCUUGCAGCCAUCCAUUACAAUGUCACCAAGCCGUAACAAAAGCAGGAGAGGGAAAGUACAAGGCUAUGUUCCCAAAACACACAAAUGACAUACCUUAUGUGGAUGAUGUGAUCAGGCUUGUGUUUGAUGAGGUAUUUGAAGAUAAGCUGAAGGAAACCCCGAUUCCAAUGGACCUGGCAUCACAGUUUGAGAGACCUUCAAAGGAGGACGUGAUUGCAUGCCAUCUUCAGUG